rnacentral:rRNA from 1 species
CCCGCCGGCGACCGGCGCACGGGUGAGUAACACGUAUGGAACCUGCCCGCAGCAGGGGGAUAAGCGGAAGAAAUUCCGUCUAAUACCGCGUAACACCGCGGAGGGGCAUCCCUCGGCGGUUAAAGAUUCAUCGGCUGCGGAUGGCCAUGCGGCGCAUUAGCUAGUCGGCGGGGUAACGGCCCACCGAGGCGACGAUGCGUAGGGGUUCUGAGAGGAAGGUCCCCCACACUGGUACUGAGACACGGACCAGACUCCUACGGAAGGCAGCAG